UGCCAAUCCAAAUCGAGUGAUUCAAAGUUCUGCAGAUAGGUAUUGAAAAUAUCUACAACUUGGCGUUGGUCUCAUCCUCAAAUUCGUUACGGAUUUUGCAUGAUCAAGAUCUGGUCAGAUCUGACUUUGUCGAAUUAAACCAGGAGCUUGGAAACGAAUUUUUGAAUGAAACCAACUGGGGGAUAAUUGGUUUAUACCAUGGUGAUAACCGAGAGAGGCAAUUGCUAAGUUGUGAUGCACUCAUGCCUU